AUCAUUUGAUAGUUCAUGAGUGUGAUGAUUGGGUGUUUCCUCACUUGUGAAAUGUACCUCCCUCAAACCUUGUGAUGUCAGCACAUUCCCCAUCUGAUG